GUAGAUGCUCAUUCGCCCCCUUAUGUUUGCGCAAGCUUCAUAAAUCUGAGAAUGAUGCAGAGCCGACUUGUGGUGCCUAUCGUCCGAAUCGUGCUGUCCCUAACGUCAGUAUGCCACGGACACGUCGUUGAGUGAGGCACCGAUCAGUUGUCUUAAGAUCUGAUUGUCCUUUUUCAACACUUGCCUGCCGGCAGGUGUUUUUUU
rnacentral:sRNA from 1 species